ensembl:lncRNA
GAGAGGUCCCCGCCUCCCUCCCGGGCGGGCGCAGCUGGAACUUACAGAGUCCGGGCGGCGCCCCGACCUCCCGGCCGCCCGCCGACCGCGCGCGGGGCUCCGGCGCUCCCAUCCGGGCGCGGGCGCAGAGGGCUGCUGGUGCUCGGGAGAUGCGUUAAAAUAAUAAAAGGUGCGACCGAGUCUGCACGCGGGAAGGGCUGGGGAAGGGCUGGGUGCAGCUCUUCCCUCCCCCUCCGAUCAGCUCCCGGGGCGGCUCGCAGUGGGGGAGGAGGGCGGGGAUGGGGGAUAGGCAGCACAAAUCAGCCUCGCCGCGGGGUUUUGACGCGCGCCCGACCUCCGGACCGCGGGGUGGCGGGGUGGCGAGGUGGGCGGGAGGGAAGCGUGCAGGCGCGUCCGGGGGAGGGCCAAGCCAAGCCGGGCGGGCGGGCCCGGGAGCCGCCGCGCCGCCGCGGGACGCGCAGGGCUUUAAGAAGGCUCUUGGCUGGAAGGAGAGAACUUGGAGUCCACGAUUACUGACAGCUAUAUGAUGCUUGUCACAGCUGCUGAUCUUAAUAAGGGGGAGACAGUUGAAAAAGAGAAGAUAUUAAUAAACUAAUGCAAGCAAAGAUGCGGUUGAAAUGAGAAAGGAAAUAUAACAAAGUGCCAUGGGAAUUCAAAUGAGAGAGAUUUAAGACCAUGAGACUUAAGGCAUCUCGUCUGAUCUUUGAAACACUAAUUUAUUUGGAGUAGACCGAGAAAAGACACUCUGCACACAACCAAAAGCACGGAAAAAGUCACGGAGUGUGAGCAAGAGUGGGCUGUGGUGUAGCUGCAGAAACUACCUUAGUCAGCACCGGGGAAGAAUUGACAGCACAGCUGACUGGGGCGCUUGACCAAGAGGCUCCCUGGAGGGCCUCUGUCUCCAGGAUUCUCAACGAAAAUUCAGCUCUUCCCGCACUCGUCCCCCACACUGGGCCACCAGAGGACCAGGCUGUGACGUGGUCAUUUUACUGUCAAACCUCUGGUACCAAAGAGAUGCUCAAAACAUAGAUUUUGCAUCAAUGAAAGCAAAGUGGACAGUGUUGGGGCCUUGGGUGAAAACCUGCAUAGACAGCUUUAAACACUCAACAAAGGCUGAACAGUCUUCAGUGGGGAGUGAUAAUUCAGGAAAUCUGGGGAAGAUUUGAUGACACUAAGAGCCUGUUUAGGAGGAAUGAUCAAGGAGGAAGGCUUGAUUGCCUUAAGGGUUGGAUUUCUAAGUAGUUCCUUGAGGCUCCAAAAUUCUAUGAUUGACAGAAGGGGAAACUGGGAUCUAUUGCAUUAAUUAGGAAAGGAAUGAAGCUUGGAGCUGAUAGGUAAUGUCCGGAGCCAAUGCACAAAUAUCUAGAGUCAACAAUAGCCGGAAGAGUCAGAGGCUGGUGACAAAUAGUAAAAAAAAAAAAAAAGAAUAGAAAGUAAAUUGUUGAAGAGAAUUUAUGAGAUUGACAACAAAUAAAUCCAUACCUGAAUCCCAUGAAAAUUCUGUUCUCCUGUAACAUAGAUUUUUGGCUCGGUAUUUUUCUAGUGAGGUAUAUGCUUCUAAAUAUUCAAUUUUAAGUCAAGUUUCAACAUGUUCUGAAGUGACAAGCUAUGUCAUACUUUUUAUUAGUCAAUAAUUUAGAUUGCUGAAUUCAAAAUAAAGGCAAGAAGUAAAGGUCAGAUUUUUACCAGUUAAUUUUUGACAAUCAUGUGCCUAACGAAAAGAGGCCAGUUAAGGGAAACAAAAGCGAAAAAUAUGUACUGUAAAAUAUAUAAAUAUUACAAAUUCCCUUUUCUUUUUUCAUUCUCCACUGACGUUUCCCUACGUAACAUGUUUUUUUCCUUUAAUUAGAUUUUCUGCAUUGGGCAGCAAGAACAGGAGGGCACAUUGCAUGUCGUUACCACCACAUAACGAAGAGCUGGAACUACUCCUAGCUCCUCUUAAUGGGACUUAGUAAUACUUGCUGAAUGAAGGAAAGAAGAAACAGUGCUGGAAACAUGGCGUGUCUCUCUUUCUUGCAUUUACUUUUUCACCCCCUCCCUUUCUUUUUGGUUUCACAACCAUUUAUUGGAAUCCAUAUGGAUAAUUUGAAGUUUGCUGUUUUUGAGAUUUAUGGCUGUACCUGACUGUAAGGCUCCUGAGUUGUCAACUUUCCCAUCUCUUAUCAUUCCUCUCAGUUCGAACAAACCCUUCUUCCCUCUGUCAGCCACUUCCCCAACAAUGCCAAGUCAGCAAAAAUUAAGCUUGCUUGGCAUUUGCUUGCUAGGCAUCUUCUUACAUAUAACUAAAUGUCUUCUGGGACAUACAAUAGCUAUAAUAAAUGUUUAUUAUUGCCAGGUAUAGCGGUCAUGCCUGUAAUCUCAGCAUACUGGGAGACCGAGGCAGAAGGACCACAAUUUUGAGCUCCACCUGGGAAAUUGAAUAACUUCUCGAGACUCUUGUCUCAAAAUUUAAAAAAAGGCCUGGGGAUACAGUUCAGUACAAAGGCCUUGAGUUCAGUCUUCAGCACCACAAUGAAUAAAUAAAUAUUACUAUUAGUUCAUUUCUAGACGCCCUUUCUGAUCUUUUUUUUUUUUCAUAUAUGGUCCAAAUAGAAAACAUUUAAAUUUACCCUUGGUGAGAAGUUGGCAAAGGAAAUCAAUUAAUUUUUCAAGAGCACAUAUACUACAUAGGUUUGUUUUAUUUUUCUGUUGGUUCCUAACAGCUACAUGUGUUUUCUUCAGUAUUCAAUGAUCUUCCUGAAUUGUUCUCUGAGAAGUAAGAACUAAUUUGUGCAUGACGCCUAAAAAAAUAAAAAAAAAAAUCAGUAAUAAGUUUAGAACAGAGCUAACUUUGUUUAAAUAUUAUGAUUUUCUGACUCUUCAGGAAUCCUGUUGGAAACUGUUCAUGUUGCAAACCAAAGGAAUUUAUGCAGCCAGAAAGCAAUUCAAGGAUAUCUGUUCACUUGCAAGUCAGUGUGAGUCAGGUUCAUUUUAGAACCUAUCAGCAUUUUACUUGGGAAUACAAAGGUUUUGGAAAUCCUUUCUCCUCAGAACCAGAGCUUGUCAGUUGCUUUCAGAUGAGUAGAGUACUAAGUAUUAAGCGGAUGGCUCUUUUUCAACUGUCUGCUGCUUUAAUUAUGAAAUGCACAUCAUUGUGGUCCUUGAAAUUGCUCUUGAGAUAAAGGGUGAAGUCCUUGCAUUGAAUGACCUUGCCUUGGACUUAACUUGUGAAUUUUGAACUCUUGGAUUUCCUGAGUCAUAUUAGACUUCAGAAUUCGAAAAGUCUUCAAGAUGACGAUGGAAAUGGUUUAUGUUAGCAGCCCAGAUAUUGGUUGGUCUGUUUGCUUGGUAUGCUGCUUUAUUAGUGUCCUCAUAUAAACUACUUUGGAACAUAUUGCUUUGGAAUCAGUUCAAUAAAACUGUUACAUAAACUAGUAAUCAAAA